rnacentral:rRNA from 1 species
CCUACGGGAGGCAGCAGUGGGGAAUAUUGCGCAAUGGGCGAAAGCCUGACGCAGCGACGCCGCGUGAGGGAUGAAGGUCUUCGGAUCGUAAACCUCUGUCAGCAGGGAAGAACGGUCACUGUGCUAAUCAGCAGUGAAUUGACGGUACCUGCAAAGGAAGCACCGGCUAACUCCGUGCCAGCAGCCGCGGUAAUACGGAGGGUGCGAGCGUUAAUCGGAAUUACUGGGCGUAAAGCGCUCGUAGGCGGUAUGUCAAGUCAAGGGUGAAAUCCCCGCGCUCAACGUGGGAACUGCCUUUGAAACUGGCAGACUGGAGUGUGUGAGAGGAUAGUGGAAGUCCAGGUGUAGGAGUGAAAUCCGUAGAUAUCUGGAGGAACAUCAGUGGCGAAGGCGACUAUCUGGCACAUAACUGACGCUGAGGAGCGAAAGCGUGGGUAGCAAACAGGAUUAGAUACCCUAGUAGUC